rnacentral:rRNA from 1 species
UACAGAGGGGGCAAGCGUUAUUCGGAAUUAUUGGGCGUAAAGGGCGCGUAGGCGGACCUGCAAGUCGGGGGUGAAAGCCCGAGGCUCAACCUCGGAACUGCCUUCGAUACUGAUGAGCUUGAGUACAGAUGAGGCUGGCGGAAUGGGUGGUGUAGCGGUGAAAUGCGCAGAUAUCAGGAGGAACACCAAUGGCGAAGGCAGCUCGCUGGGACGUGACUGACGCUGAGACGCGAAAGCGUGGGAGCAAACAGG